GACGAACGCUAGCGGCGUGCCUAAUACAUGCAAGUAGAACGCUGAAGGAGGAGCUUGCUUCUCUGGAUGAGUUGCGAACGGGUGAGUAACGCGUAGGUAACCUGCCUGGUAGCGGGGGAUAACUAUUGGAAACGAUAGCUAAUACCGCAUAAUAGCAGUUGUUGCAUGACAACUGUUUGAAAGGUGCAAUUGCACCACUACCAGAUGGACCUGCGUUGUAUUAGCUAGUUGGUGGGGUAACGGCUCACCAAGGCGACGAUACAUAGCCGACCUGAGAGGGUGAUCGGCCACACUGGGACUGAGACACGGCCCAGACUCCUACGGGAGGCAGCAGUAGGGAAUCUUCGGCAAUGGACGGAAGUCUGACCGAGCAACGCCGCGUGAGUGAAGAAGGUUUUCGGAUCGUAAAGCUCUGUUGUAAGAGAAGAACGAGUGUGAGAGUGGAAAGUUCACACUGUGACGGUAUCUUACCAGAAAGGGACGGCUAACUACGUG
rnacentral:rRNA from 1 species